CGAGCACGCGCGUGUGGCAUAUCAAUAAGCGGAGGAAAAGAAACUAACAAGGAUUCCCUUAGUAACGGCGAGUGAAGCGGGAAGAGCUCAAAUUUGAAAUCUUCAAGGUUCUACCUUGACGAAUUGUAGUUUAUAGAAGUGUUUUCUGUUAGUAGAGUGGCAAAAGUUCUUUGGAAUAGGACAUCAUAGAGGGUGAGAAUCCCGUAUUUGGUCAUUCUUUCUAGCUUUGUGAUACACUUUCAACGAGUCGGAUUGUUUGGGAAUGCAGUCCAAAAUGGGUGGUAAAUUUCAUCUAAAGCUAAAUAUUGGCGAGAGACCGAUAGCGAACAAGUACCGUGAGGGAAAGAUGAAAAGAACUUUGAAAAGAGAGUUAAAUAGUACGUGAAAUUGUCAAAAGGGAAGCGUUUGACACCAGUGUUGUUUUUCCGAAAAUCAAUUACGAAUGUUUUGUGUUUAAAGUAUUGACUUUAUCAGCUUUCUGCACUUUUUUCUUACGUAACUUUUUUAAUGCACUUUUCGGUUAACAAGUCAACAUCAAUUUCUUUUGUUGUAAAAGAGGUCAUUGAGGAAGGUGGCUUUCUUUUCGGAGAAAGUGUUUAUAGCCUUGUAGCCUCUGCAAUCGGAGAGAUUGAGGUCUGCAGGCGUAGAUCCUUCGGGGCUAGAUACGUUUGUGCUAAGUUAUAGCUUUGUCAUAGACAACAUGUUGACUAUGCUUAAGUCUUGUAGCUUACUCGCAUAUAGCUAUUUUACCUACGCUUAGGAUGUUGAACUCUAUCACACACAG
rnacentral:rRNA from 1 species